UUUGCAAUGCAAUUUUACAGUAG
rnacentral:miRNA from 1 species